rnacentral:rRNA from 1 species
GAUCGUAAGACCAAUACCAACACUAAUACACUGGAUCCCAUCAGAACUCCACCGCAGUUAAGCAUGCUUGGGCGAGAGUAGUACUAGGUUAGGUGACCUAUUAGGAAGUCCUCGUGUUGCACUCC